rnacentral:lncRNA from 1 species
CCAGAGCCAGAAGCACCUGUCACAUGAUGCAUCUCAAAAUUCAUCAGUGUUUCUCUCCAUAUGUCUCAGUUUUGAGGUGGCCAGGAGACAUCAUCUGCUCCUGCCUACUCUCUUGGGACUGCAUGAACUUCAGCAACACAAAUAUAGCAACAGAGAAGAAACUCCCUUUAGCAACACUUAGGCUACUGGUGUAACAUCAAGCGAGGACUGUUUUCAUACACUGGUGAUGACAUCUCCUAUGCUCCUCCAAAGAAGCAACAACAACAACAAAAGGAGGCACCCCAGAGGCUGAAGUGAGCAUGGGUGCUGCAAGCAACAGGAAACUCUGAGCAGAUAUUCACAUCAUGGAGCUUGUUUGUGCAGUGGCAGCUACUUAUCCUCAUGAGCGUCACCUUAAAAAGCAGCCUGCCCAACCAGGCUGAAAAAGAGACAACAUUAACUCCCUAACUAUACUGGUUUGUUUAAUGCCCUUGUUGGUGAGGCCCAGAGAGAACAGGCAGUGCUGACCCCAUAGUAUCCAGCAGAAGACAUAUCUAUGGACAGGUAGGUCAGCAGUCCUUGCUGGGUGGCCCCUUCUCAUGCUGUGAAAUGGGCCAUACUGGGAUAUGCACAGCAGGUGGGGGUACCUGCAGACUAACACUCUCCUUCUUGGGGACCCCCACAACAUCUUGGGAGCUGGUGGCCAUGAACAAAGAGCACACGGGAACCAUCCUUGGGGUCUAGUCAUUGAGUUUCCAUUCCUGGGAAAGUUCCCUGUUUUGUCAUUGUAACCUGGGUGUCACUGAUUGCAGGGCUGCAGAAGUCCUCAAAAGAGAGGAAGCUCUUCUAUGAAACAUCUCUAUGAACCAGACUUUGAACUUCCCUAAUACUGGAGUUAUUCCUGUCUGAGGAUUUACUCUGGGCCCCUCUCAAUAUUGACUUUUUCUUGCUUCUGGACUGUCUAGGGCAAUAUAGAUUUUUCAACUUAAAAGCACCUAUUUUUAGAUACCAAAGGAGACCAUUAUGAUCUA